CUGGUUGAUUCCUCUAGCUGGCCCAUCAGGUAGCUAACAGCCUGGUCUGGUUGAUUCCUCUAGCUGGCCCAUCAGGUAGCUAACAGCCUGGUCUGGUUGAUUCCUCUAGCUGGCCCAUCAGGUAGCUAACAGCCUGGUCUGGUUGAUUCCUCUAGCUGGCCCAUCAGGUAGCUAACAGCCUGGUCUGGUUGAUUCCUCUAGCUGGCCCAUCAGGUAGCUAACAGCCUGGUCUGGUUGAUUCCUCUAGCUGGCCCAUCAGGUAGCUAACAGCCUGGUCUGGUUGAUUCCUCUAGCUGGCCCAUCAGGUAGCUAACAGCCUGGUCUGGUUGAUUCCUCUAGCUGGCCCAUCAGGUAGCUAACAGCCUGGUCUGGUUGAUUCCUCUAGCUGGUCCAUCAGGUGGCUAACAGCCUGGUCUGGUUGAUUCCUCUAGCUGGCCCAUCAGGUAGCUAACAGCCUGGUCUAGUUGAUUCCUCUAGCUGGUCCAUCAGGUAGCUAACAGCCUGGUCUGGUUGAUUCCUCUAGCUGGCCCAUCAGGUAGCUAACAGCCUGGUCUGGUU